CUGAUGUCACACUGCCAAGAAAAGCUUCUAGUGAGAAAGUAACUGCCCGUACCGCAAACCGACACAGAUAGUUGAGGAGAGAAUCCUAAGGUGUGCGAGAGAACUCUCGUUAAGGAACUCGGCAAAAUGACCCCGUAACUUCGGGAGAAGGGGUGCUGACCGCAAGGUCAGCCGCAGUGAAUAGGCCCAAGCGACUGUUUAUCAAAAACACAGGUCUCUGCAAAAUCGAAAGAUGACGUAUAGGGGCUGACGCCUGCCCGGUGCUGGAAGGUUAAGAGGAGAGGUUAGCGCAAGCGAAGCUUUGAAUUGAAGCCCCAGUAAACGGCGGCCGUAACGAUAACGGUCCUAAGGUAGCGAAAUUCCUUGUCGGGUAAGUUCCGACCCGCACGAAAGGCGUAACGAUUUGGGCACUGUCUCAACGAGAGACUCGGUGAAAUUAUAGUACCAGUGAAGAUGCUGGUUACCCGCGACAGGACGGAAAGACCCCAUGGAGCUUUACUGCAGUUUGAUAUUGCGUGUUUGUAUCACAUGUACAGGAUAGGUAGGAGCCGAAGAUACCGGGACGCCAGUCUCGGAGGAGGCAACGGUGGGAUACUACCCUUGUGAUAUGACCACUCUAACCCGCUGCUCUUAGCGAGCAGGGAGACAGUGUCAGACGGGCAGUUUGACUGGGGCGGUCGCCUCCAAAAAUGUAACGGAGGCGCCCAAAGGUUCCCUCAGAAUGGUUGGAAAUCAUUCGUAGAGUGUAAAGGCAGAAGGGAGCUUGACUGCGAGACCUACAAGUCGAGCAGGGACGAAAGUCGGGCUUAGUGAUCCGGUGGUUCCGCAUGGAAGGGCCAUCGCUCAACGGAUAAAAGCUACCCUGGGGAUAACAGGCUUAUCUCCCCCAAGAGUUCACAUCGACGGGGAGGUUUGGCACCUCGAUGUCGGCUCAUCGCAUCCUGGGGCUGUAGUCGGUCCCAAGGGUUGGGCUGUUCGCCCAUUAAAGCGGUACGCGAGCUGGGUUCAGAACGUCGUGAGACAGUUCGGUCCCUAUCCGUCGCGGGCGUUGGAAAUUUGAGAGGAGCUGUCCUUAGUACGAGAGGACCGGGAUGGACACACCGCUGGUGUACCAGUUGUUCUGCCAAGAGCAUCGCUGGGUAGCUAUGUGUGGACGGGAUAAACGCUGAAAGCAUCUAAGCGUGAAGCCCCCCUCAAGAUGAGAUUUCCCAUCACUUUAAGUGAGUAAGACCCCUGAGAGAUGAUCAGGUAGAUAGGUUGGGAGUGGAAGUACAGCGAUGUAUGGAGCGGACCAAUACUAAUCGGUCGAGGACUUAACC
rnacentral:rRNA from 1 species